CGCAUAGAUACCACACAGUGCAUUCCACUAAUAAAAUAAAAUAAAAUAAAAUUAUAGCGAUCUCUCCUCGUAAGUGUCUCCCUACAGCUUUUCCACUUUGUUGUUUUGUUUAUAGUUGACCAUAUGUCUAGGUCAUGGCAACGGGUAAAAAGCAAGUAGCAACUAGUUAGAACUUUACUAAAUUAAUAAUUUUGAAUUUUAUCAUGGAUUCUCUUACGAUGAAAAAAGUAAUAUUGUUGCAUAUAAAGAUGAAAUAAAGUAAUCAAGACUACUCAACUCGAUUCCUUUUUGUUAGGUCAAUGCCUAAUUUGGCCAGCUUUUGAUGUAAGUUAAAUGAAUCAUUAUCAUACGGUUACGGUAUUCGCCAAAAUAUCGAUCUGGAUCCUUUAUAUCUAGUUUACUUUAAUCUCUUAUAUUUUUUGUAAAAAACUUAUAUACAUUUCCUCAUAUAAAUUCAGUCUCUAUGUCUUGUCUCCGUGAAUUAAAAUCAAUUAGUUGGAAUAAUACACUAUAAUAUAUAAAGG
rnacentral:lncRNA from 1 species